GCACGGAGUGUCUGCUCUGGCCUCGGACAGGAAGGCAGGCCAGAGCUGAGCAGCUUCGUGGACCCCAGCACUAUUUCAGAAGGGACUGACACAAGCACAGAGGAGGCAGUGCAAAGGUCAGCCGUGCCUCCCUGCUCUGGGCCUGUGCAUCCAUCAGGAGCCCUGGAUGGGGGAAGAGCUGGAGUCAUGUUCCACCACCCCGUCCUGCGUUCUCCUUCCCUUCCCAUCCUCCUCUCCUCUCCCCUCCCCUUCUCCCCUUACUCUUGAGCCUAGUUCUGGGAAUAGAACGCAUGGCUCCAAGCACAGCAGGUCAGAAUUCUACCACUAAAGCCUGAUCCAUUUUCUCCACUCCCUUAUCGUGUGUGUGUGCCCGAGUGUGUGUGUGUGUGUGUGUGUGAAUGGGUAGGGGGCACAUAUGUGUGGAAGCAGGAAAAACCUGGAGCAUGGGUCCCUGGGAGCCAUCCACCUGUAGACAGAUCUUGCCGAUUUGCCUAGUCUUCAAAUACAAAGACAGAAGGCAGAGAUGCCCCUGGCCUGGCUAGCUGGGGCCCUGAGCCCCAAACACCCCACAUGCUCCAAGCUCUGAGCCCUCCCCCCAGGCCUGCGGUGUGGGGAGCACUCAGCAGGGUGCUGCUGCUCCGACAGGGCACUGAGUCACCGGGCAGAGAUGGCUGUCCGUGAUAGCAAGGUGGGAGAUGUGAAGAUACGGUCUCCGGACUUGGCGCUGUGGCGCCCGCCUGCCUCCUUCCGGGCUGCCUGACACUGGCUAAUUUGUGCUUGGUAAGUGUCAGAGAGACUCACUCUCCAGCGCUCCCGUCGUCACUCCCUGGCCUUUGUGGAUGGAAGGUUCUUAUUAGCACCUGGGAAAUUAGGGUUUUCCUUCCGGGUGGGUUAAGGCAUAUUUGGAUAUGAGUGUGGAAAGCACCAGGGAGGUGCCCACAGCCAGCAGGACUCUGGGCUGCAGAACAGCGACCAUGGACAGCCACCAGGAGGGACCCUCUGCAGGGGAGCAUGCAGAACCGGCUGGGAAGAGGCCGGCAUGGCAGAACCGGCGGGCUGGGCCAUCUCACGGCUCAUUAGCCCCGUGGAUGGGUGCCCAGAGGUGGGCAGAAAAGAGCAGGUGGCUUCUCCCAGGAGCAUCAUUAAACCCCUGCAGAGUUUGUGCUUGGCUCUCAGGGACCAGUGCCAAAUCCUUGCCCUUGAAAUAAUGUUUCCAGGUCUUCCUGUUUGGAGGACGAGGGAGGCUGAGUGAAGGCCUAGAAGAGAUGGCAAGAGAGAACAAAGCUAAAGGCCCUGCCAAGAGCAGAGCUGACGGUAGGAAUGCCACAGGUGAGGAGAGAGGCGGCCAUAUUUGUGUGAAGCACAUCAUCGGGACCCUGGCCACGGCCGGAUAGGUUAGCCAGCGACACACACGCUCUUGCAGACAUCUGGACAUCUGGGAUCCACAGGCAUGCCGGAAGACCUUACCCAGCGUGGAGAGAACCAGACCAGGCUUAUGAGGUUGCUGGGCUCUGCAACCCAGAAGCCACAGUCAGCCCAGGUGAGGAACACAGUUUUAGCCACUGCAGGACUCCCGCCUGCCUGCCGGGCUGUCAGCAGGCUUCAGGGGUGAGUCGUGGGAGCCAGGGGAAUUCUGACUCGCAGGCCUCCUCUCCAGCUCCACAGAGUUCUGGGGCUGUGGGGCACACUUUGAGCGACAGGACAUCCCUGAGCUGGGGCAAUAGGAAAUCAACCGUCCGCUCCCUCCCCACUGCACGGCUUCAGCUCAGGAGCCUGAAGAGAUGCACUUGAGGCUCACGAGCCUUAGGGAAGACACACGAGCUGCACGGCACACCUGCAGUAGACUGUCGUUGUCCCCUUGGCUUUCCACAGAUGGGAAAGGUGUCGCCGGCUCAGGCAUGUGGCCUUCAAAACACGACCGUUUCAUAGCACAGGCUCACAGGCAUGUAGGAACACAUGUGUUCUGGAGGUAGACAUGGCUGGUUUGGGACAUUUGCAGUCACAGGCAAAUGACUCCAUAGACCUUUGACCUGUGGGUAAACGUUUGUUGAUCUAUAUCCCAGAAAAAAAAAACAUUAUUUAUUAACAGGGCAGUAAACAGACAAGGGUGGCAAGCUUGUGGGGGGCAGCCAAGGGCAGGGGACGAGGUAGAGAGUGAAAGUGGACCAUGGGGCGAGGGUGUGCUAGGGAGCCAAAGGCUAAGGACACAGAGGACAAGGCCAAAGAGAGAUAUCUGAGCUAGGUGAGAUCCAGUCUGCUCAGGUGACCACCUGUCCAAGAACAGCGAGACCCGGGCCGAAGCAGAGCUUGGGGUCAGCAGGGAGAGACGUGGGGUGGAGGCUUGGGCACAAGAGUAGCCAGACCCUAAACCUAACUAGAUUCUCCGGGCCUUACAGUCCUGUGCAGAGAGUGGCAGGCUAGCCCAGAAGGGCAAGGGUGACUGUGUGACCCCCACCUAGCUCCCCCGGAGAACCCUGUGACUGCAAUUUACCCCCAAGCUACCUCAUUGACCAUGAGGCUCAGCCCUAAGCGGCAGGCUGCUGGUCCCCAUCUUACUGGUGGAGAGACUGAGGCUUGGAGAGAGGAGGCCACCACUCACGCUGACGCAACAUGUGAGCAGGGCCAGGAUUCAGAGAGAGGUCCAGCUGCCUCUGGCCGCGCCCACUCAUGGUCAACCGAGGAGGAGAGAGAUGUGCUGGUCCUUCUACCUGGGAGCCUCAGCGGACAGUGCAGAGCUGAGAAAACAGAAGCCUAGAGGUCACAGGUUUCCUCCUGAGCUAGUGAGAUGGGUCACUGGGGAAGUGCUUGCCACCAAGUCUGAUGAGCUGAGCUCCGUCACCAGGACCCACUCAAUGGAAGGAGGGAACUGACUCGUGCGGGUUGACCUCUGACCUCCUCACACACGCAUCGAGGUACGUGUGCAUCUCCCCCCAGAUAAAUGUAAUUAAGAGAAAAUGUUUCUAAAGAAAGAAAUCUUAAGCUUUUUGUCUAAAGCCACACCCGGAGGAAGAAGAGAUUCUGGAACUCCAGCUGAAAUGUCACCAGCAGGUAUAUCUAGAGACUGAGAUUUGAGGAGAUGGGUCAGUGUCCACGACUCUGUGGUGAUUACUGCCUCAACGGUGAUAAAAGCCCUCAUGGAUAUAACCCACAAAGCAGAGAAGAGCUUCUGCCUUGGAGGGGCUAGAAGACCAUGCUGAAGAGUCGUGCACUCUGGGAAGAGGUCCUGGGCUCUAGUUCUUCCCUUCCGAGGAUGUGAUGAGUAAUCAUGAGUUCACAGGAGAUAGUAGCUAAACAGAGAGGAACGUGUCUGGCCAGGCCUCUUGCCUCCACCUCUCCUUCUGAUACUUCCCCCUAGCCAAAGCCUCUAGCAGGUGGAGACUGUUCAAACAUCCUCUGACCACACUUUCAGCUCUUCUUUUGAAACUCUAUAGACUCACUUUUCACACAGCAGGUAGGAAAGGCUCUAACAGUGUAGAUACAAUUGCAUCAAGGCCUAGCUCAUACCUCAUGAGCUCUGCUCCUAACAGCACACCAUCAACUCUAGAACGAAGCCCACCUGUGCCCUGGCGGCCCUCAGCUGCCUGGUCCUCACCUGCUUCCUACACUCUUGACCUGGCCACACUGGUUGCUGUUAGGGUCCUCCAAUGCUCCAAGCUAGCCCCAGGGCUGCUUCCCUCUGUGGGAAAAAGGCCUCCCCAAGAUCUUGCCGUGGUUGUCCAUGUUACUCCCACUUUUAGAAGAGGCCUUCCCUAACCUAGCCUUGAAUUUGUGGCCCUGCCCCCUGAGCUUCUGAGAUUGUCGACAAUCUUAGAACACACCAAACACACAGCAUUCAUGUUCCCAUUUUGUUUCCUUCCUCUUCUCAUCUCUUUCUGAGAAAUUUUCUCUAGUGGACCCUGGGACUCAUGUUCCUGAGAGCACGGUGGUCUCCAUUGUCCAUUGCUGAGUGCCUGGUACCUGAAAGAGACCUGGGAUGGGACACACAGAUUUGUGGGCAGGAGGAGUAUCUGGAGUGUCUGUAUUACUGCGAGGGGCUGAGGCUGGGUGACGAGAAGGAUGAGAGCCACACAAACAGACCGAGGUGUGGAAGCUGGGAGAGAGGCUGGAGCUGACACAGGCGUGAGGCCUUGUUGGAUCACACCAGGCCGCGCUCAGCACACACCCACCUGAGGUGGCCUUUGCUACAGCCGCUGUCGAGGCAACUGGCAAGCCCCUUAUGGGGAGUCUGAGUCUCUAACAGACUCCCCAGGGCCCAGAUUCCAAGAAAAUGGCAGUCAACAUGGACAUCCCACAAGGAAGUCAACACCGGCUUCCACAGCUCAGGUUACUAAGGGCUUCUAGUGGUGACACAUUCCCCAUCUAUAUAACGAGGACAUCUUAAUAAGUUGGCUCCUCUUCUUCCACAUCCUCAGGUGGCACUGUUCUCCCCUCCCCCACCUCAGGAAUCAGGACUGCCUAGCAGCAGACGGGUGCUUUGGCAUGAAACCCACUCCUUUCUACUAUAAGGACCCACCUCUCCUCUCCCUUGAGGGCAUGAACUCUUGUCAGAGCCUCCAGUAUACUGCUGUCUGUCUGUCUAUCCAUGUUGUUAAUAAUACUAAUAGACCCCUUACCUAAAAGGACAGUCCACUUCCAGUGGACUGGACAAAAGGAGAGGACUCACAGUGCUUGCAAAAGUCAGCUCCACUCUCUGGAGAUGUGCUGUGUUCCCAUGGUGGCCUGAUGGCCCUGUUCACCAUGGCCACCAAUCCUGUGGCAUCGUGAAACAUGGUGGCUGGGAGCAGACACCAGAGGAAGCUGGCAGGUGGCUUCUCCUGACCCCUCCUCCGGCAUUAAACAGGAUGAAUGGAAGCUGGGCUGAUGAAUGGUUCUGACUGUUGCUUGGAAAGCCAAGAUGCCCCCAACACACACCGCAUAAUAUAGCCCAGACUGGCUUUGAACUCACCAUCCUCCUGCCUACCAAAGGCUGGAAUGACAGACAUGUGCCACCAUCUCUGGCUAAGACAGGAAUUUCUUUCUUUUUAGACAGCAUCUCUGUGCUUGCUGGUUUUAUAUCAACUUGACACAAGCUAGAGCCUUCGGUUGCUUUUGGUCAUGCUGUUUCAUUUCAGCCAUAAACUUGUGACAAUCCUCCUGCCUCAGCCUCCCAGUGCUGAGAUUUCAGGUGUGCUCCACCAUGCCAGCUCAGGCACUGAGCUUUUAAAGGACAGAAUCCUCAGAAAGGAAGGACACUUCUCAGUUGUGGAUAAACGUGGGACAAACUCCAGGAAAGCUCAGUGGUUCAAAGCAGCCAAAGGCUUCUGGGUUGCUGAGAUACAAAGAACAGGAUUGCCCAGAGCCAUGGAACCAGGCAAGGGGAAUUCCUGUCCUCUGUGGCUCUGCUCUUUUCCCUGGGGCUAUCCAUAGGCAAUCUUGGUGGCCUGUGCUAUCCCAGGUGAGUGAGACAGAGGCCUGACCCACAGAGCAGGAUGAGUGAGGGACAGGGCGGGACUCAGUAGGGAAUAGAGUUCUUCUUACUCACUCACCUGCACCUCCUGUCACCUCCAGUGACAGGGUCAUAUGACAAAUGCAAAAUGGCAGGGCCAGGGGCUCAGGCCUCAGAGAAGACUGUCCCUCUUACUGAUGUCCCAGCAUGCCCAUAAGCCUCAGGGAGUGGCUGACACCCAAGCCUGGCCGCUGAGAUCCUCAGAGCAGGCACUCGCCCCCGAGUCAGGCAGAGAUGGUUGGGAGACCGCCGCUGCAGACUGCAGGCAGCUCCAGGGCACUGUGCUGUACCUGUGGGGGCUGGUGGCCCAGGCCUGUCCCUGGGACCCACUCCCGAGAGCAGGCCUGGCUUUUCUCUCUUUAAAAGCUUGUGUUCGGGGGACAGAGUGCUUGCCCAGCAUACAGGAAGCUCUGGGUUCAGCCUCCAGGAUCACAUAAGCCAGGUGUGGAGGGGCACACUGGAAUCCCAGCACCUGGGAGUUCAAGGUCAUCCUCAGCUAGGCAUCAAGUCUGAGGGGAGCCUGGCUAUUUGAGACACUGUUUCUAAAUGAAACAAACACCUUAUAUCUCAAGCUAAUUAUAGACCCCCCCCACUCCAGCUCACAAGCCCCUUCACUCUAGUACAGCGCCAGGACCCAGGAUGGUCUAGAUGCGUAUUGCAGAGCACGGGCCAUGUUUAGGGCUUGUCUCAGAGCCCUCCUCCUAGAGACAGCGCCACUGUGACUCUCCAGUGCGUGUCCUCUGGCCUGAGCGAACGGCAAUGGUCCGGCUAGGACGGGACAGUCAUUAGCCAGCAGGAGGCUGGGGGAGCAAAGCUGUCUCAGGAGCAGACUGCAGCCCCUGCAGCCAGAUUGGCAGGCUUGCCAGGGUUGGGAUCAGGGAUGGUGAAGCCGGGGAGGGAGAGCCUGGACUUCCUCUGGGUCCAGAGGACCAGGGAGGCUUCCAAGGUCAACGAGACCUGUGGCUGCGGAUCCAGGGCUGCGUGUUCCAAGCUGUGAAGUGGGGAGUGGAUGAGUUGUCCGGAAAUGUGAACAGGGUGGGGUGGCCAGGCAGAAGCAAUGGGUGGAGGAGGUGACUUAGGAGGUAUGUGGGGGCAGAAGUAGCAGGGCUGGAACCGGUAAGGGGGGACAGGAGCAAGAGUGGGGAGGAGGAGUGGGGAGGAAUUGUUACAUUCAUGCAUGCAUGCGCACGCACACACACAUACACACACACACACACACACACAACCACAUAAUAAACAUUUUAAAAAAUCAAAAGAACUCUAGUGAGGGAGACAUUCAGCCAACAAAAGUAUAUGUAAAUGCAUGUGUGAGACAGAUUUCCCAGGGCUCAGGGAAGACAGUGUUCAGGGGACAGUGUUCCCGGGCAGCAUUGGUGCAAGUACUGAGGCAGAGAGGAGGCCCAAAGUGCAGUGGACAGCCGGGACUACAGGGGAGACCCUGGGAGAAGCCUGGAGCCAGCAGGUCAGGUUUGGUGCAUUCUCAGGAAAGCCACCUGAAACCGUGAGUAGGAAGGGGGAAGUCUUAGGGUGCAGCCUGCAGGCCCUCUGUCCUGGAGGGAAGAGCCCUCAAUGUCUCCAGAUGCCUGAAAAACACAGCAGGCCACAAGACAGCCACCGGGACAGCUACCAGGGACAGCCACAGACAAAACUGCCAGGCCCAGCUGAGUUGGGGGAUGGAAAUCUUUAGUCCCUUGUGCGGUAUCAGCUUUGGCCACUGUGACAAAGAUCUGAGAUAACCAACUUUUCCCCAUUUAUUUAUUUAUCCUAUGUGGAGGUGAGAAAAAAAAAUUGCAGGCAGCAGCUUCCUUCCACCCUGUGGA